rnacentral:rRNA from 1 species
AUUGAACGCUGGCGGCAGGCCUAACACAUGCAAGUCGAACGAGUGGCGGACGGGUGAGUAAUGUCUGGGAAACUGCCUGAUGGAGGGGGAUAACUACUGGAAACGGUAGCUAAUACCGCAUACCAUCGGAUGUGCCCAGAUGGGAUUAGCUAGUAGGUGGGGUAAAGGCUCACCUAGGCGACGAUCCCUAGCUGGUCUGAGAGGAUGACCAGCCACGCUGGAACUGCGCCACGGUCCAGACUCCGACGGUAGGCAGGCGUGGGGUAUAUUGCACCAUGGGCUCAAGCCUUACGCAGCCAUGCCGCGUGUAUGAAGAAGACCUUCGGGUUGUAAAGUACUUCCAGCGGGUGGGCGUUACCCGCAGAAGAUGCACCGGCUAGCUCCGUGCCAGCAGCCCCGGUAAUAC